AGUAACUGCGAGUGAAGCGGCAAAAGCUCAAAUUUGAAAUCUGGCGUCUUUGGCGUCUGAGUUGUAAUUUGGAGAGGCAUCUUCGGAGAUGGCGCCGUCCUAAGUUCCUUGGAACAGGACGUCAUAGAGGGUGAGAAUCCCGUGCCUGGAUGGCUGCCCGUCUCCAUGUGAAGUGUCUUCGACGAGUCGAGUUGUUUGGGAAUGCAGCUCAAAAUGGGUGGUAAAUUUCAUCUAAAGCUAAAUACUGGCGAGAGACCGAUAGCGCACAAGUAGAGUGAUCGAAAGAUGAAAAGCACUUUGAAAAGAGAGUUAAAAAGUACGUGAAAUUGUUGAAAGGGAAGCGCUUGAGACCAGACUCAAUCUUUGGUGAUCAGCUGUGCUUCUGUGCAGUGCACUUGCCAUUGAUUGGGCCAGCAUCGGUUCUGACGGUGGGAUAAAAGGCAGAGGAAUGUAGCUUCCUUCGGGGAGUGUUAUAGCCUUCGUCACAAUGCCAUCAGUUGGGACCGAGGACCGCGCUUCGGCUAGGAUGCUGGCGUAAUGGUCUUAAGCGACCCGUCUUGAAACACGGACCAAGGAGUCUAACAUCUAUGCGAGUGUUCGGGUGGAAAACCCUUGCGCGUAAUGA
rnacentral:rRNA from 1 species